GCCGCGGUAAUUCCAGCUCCAAUAGCGUAUAUUAACGUUGUUGCAGUUAAAAAGCUCGUAGUUGAAGUGUGGGUGGUGCUGUCUGAAUGACUUCGGUUAGUCAGAUGAUCACUACCCCCUUCCAGUAUCCAGUAGUGGGUAUUCACUUACUUACUAUUGUGUGUUGGUCCUUUACUGUGAGAAAAUUAGAGUGUUCAAAGCAGGCGUUUGCUUGAAUAGAUUAGCAUGGAAUAAUAAUUGAAGGCUUUCGUGUUCGAUUUGAUUGGUUUGUUCAUGGAAGCAAGGUUAAAAGGAACAGUUGGGGGUAUUCAUAUUCACUAGUUAGAGGUGAAAUUCUCGGAUUUAUGGAAGAUGAACAAGUGCGAAAGCAUUUACCAAGGAUGUUUUCAUUAAUCAAGAACGAAGG
rnacentral:rRNA from 1 species